rnacentral:rRNA from 1 species
AGAGUUUGAUCAUGGCUCAGGAUGAACGCUGGCGGCGUGGAUAAGGCAUGCAAGUCGAACGGAGAAGUCCCAUGAAUAUGAAAAAAACUUUGAGUAGCAAUACGAUUAGAAUUUUUCAUAGGAUUGGGUUCGCUUCUUAGUGGCGAACGAGGUAGUAAUACGCAGGAACUUCCCCCAAAGUCGUGAAUAAUUCGUCGAAAGACGGACUAAUACACGAUGGUCUCGUAAGAGUAAAGUUUUAACGCUUUGGGAAAGGCCUGUGCGAUAUCAGCUAGUUGGUAGUGUAAUGGACUACCAAGGCUAUGACGUCUAGGGGAGGUGAGAGCCUGACCCCCACCGAUGGUACUGAGACACGGACCAUACACCUACGGGUGGCUGCAGUCGAGAAUCUUCCGCAAUGGACGAAAGUCUGACGGAGCGACGCCGCGUGAUUGAUGAAGUCCCUCUGGGACGUAAAGAUCUUUUAUGAGGGAAGAAGUUUAUUGACGGUACCUCAUGAAUAAGAGGCUCCUAAUCUCGUGCCAGCAGGAGCGGUAAUACGAGAGCCUCGAGCGUUAUCCGGAAUUAUUGGGCGUAAAGGGUGCGUAGGUUGCAAUGUUAGUCUUUUGUCAAAGACCCGGGCUUAACUUGGGGAACGCGGGAGAUACGGCAUUGCUUGAAAGUGCGAGGGGUGUACGGAACUCAUGGUGUAGGGGUGAAAUCCGUUGAUAUCAUGGGGAACACCAAAAGCGAAAGCAGUACACUGGCGCAUAUUUGACACUGAAGCACGAAAGCGUGGGUAGCGAAUGGGAUUAGAUACCCUAGUAGUCC